AUAUCGGGGAAUAUGUAGAUGGGAGACUGUGAGCCCCCGAGGACAGGGACUGCAUCUGCCUUGAUCACUGUUGAAUCUGUGUUGUAUUCAGCAAGUUGGACCAUCAGCAUAGUCCCUGACAAAAUGAUGGAGGGCAAAGCCAAGUACAUCCUCCCUACCGAAACAAUAUAUGUUGGGGAAAUGAAGGAUGGCAUGUUUCACGGCGAAGGAACCCUGUACUUCCCCAGUGGAAGCCAAUACGACGCCAUUUGGGAAAACGGAUUGGCCAUAA